ACUACACCCCUCCCUGGCUACACUUGCAUCAGAGUUGGUGACAGUUUUAUGCUUCUGAAACGUUCUUGGACUGUUCUACAAAUCCUUGCCAGGUUUUGACUUAUUACACCAAAAUAAGAUUCUUGUUCAGAAGUUGUUUGCCAUUUCUUAAAGGCUGUUUUUAGGGGAACGUACACUCCAAGCCCAUGCCCAUGCAUUGUCAUACUCAUAGCACAAAGCUAGACCUAAAAUGGCUGCUUGUUUUGUGUUUUAUAUGGUCAACUUAAAUUUGUUUAAAUAUGUCCACAGACUUCUGCAGGGUUCAUUUUGCACAUUGUCUGUUUUGUAAAUUGGUUAAUUUUCUUCUCUCUUCAUUUCAUCUUUCUCUAACACAUACAAAGACUGACUCUUCCAUUUUGAUUGCUUAUUUUUUUUGGAGAAAGCAUUUGAAUUAUUGGUUGGGCACUUAAAUAAAUAGUGUUCUAUAAGAAAUACCCCCUUGGUCUUCUCUUUUCUGUCUAUUUGCUGCCACUUUUUAGUAUAAAUGAAAUGCCAGUUUGUGAAUUUGUUAAAAUACAGAUAUUUUUAAUAAAGUUAAUGAUUGGCAAAAUUGCCAGUUCUACGGUUUAGAAAAAAAAAAAAACUAGAAUACAGUAAUGAUCCUGAAAAAUUACGGUACACCGCUGGAAACCUUGCUGCCAGUAUAUUACUGUUAAUUUACAAAAAAAGCUGUAAUUCAGAAAACUGUAAAAUAACGGUACACAGCUGGAAACCCUGCUGCCAGUAUAUUACCGUUAAUUUACAGAAAAGCUGUAAUUCUGGAAACUGUAAAAUAACGGUACACAGCUGGAAACCCUGCUGCCAGUAUAUUACCGUUAAUUUACAAAAAAGCCGUAAUUCAGAAAACGGUAAUAAAACUGUAAAAUUACGGUACACUGCUGGAAACCCUGCUGCCAGUAUACUACCGUUAAUUUACAGGACAAUUUUUUACAGUGUAUGCAUGCUUUUUAACGUGUAUUGAUGUGAAUCUAGUGUGAUCGCACCGUUGAAGUGUUUGAUCUGGUUUCCAAAAGCCUGAUUUGAGAUCAGAUUCCUGUCAUACAGAGACUGAUCCGCGGUCAGCAGGAAGGAAACUUGUGAGCUGCUUUGAUGAAAACAUUCCUCUGUUUUUCUCUUCCGUGGUUUUUGUAAAACUUUUGUUGUGCUAAAAUGAGCGAAUGACUUUGUACUGAUGUUGAGAGGUAUAUGAUCACAUUAAAGGUUAUGUUUCAUGCAGUCCUGAUGACUCGACUCUUCUUCUUUAAAUGUCUGGAUAUAUUUAGCAGAUCAUUUUUGCAGAUGGUAAUGUGAAUCGAAGGUCAGCGUCUGCUACAAUGUGUCACGCUUGUCUGGAUGAAUGAACAUCAGUCUGAUAUAUCAGCUAAAAGAUCUUUUCUCUGUUUGUGAGAUAUCAACGUCCAUCCCAAAGACCUUGUUGAGAUCUCUUCUGAAACCCAUGAUGAGACGCAUCGUUUGGCAGCAGUUCAGACGUGCGAUCGGCCCAGUCACAUCCCGAAGACCCUUUGAUGUGAAACAGAGCCUUCUGAUUGGCUGCCUGGAGGAGAUGACCUUUGAUUGGCCGACACUUCAG